rnacentral:lncRNA from 1 species
UUCAGGCUCAGAAUCCUUUGAUUUUUCCCUGUGGUGUGGCCUUUAGCUAGGAGCAGGGUCACGAGUCACCUCCCUGGAGGCCCCUGCCAUGCCUGCUCAGGGAGAGGGUGGGAAGGGGUGUCUGCCUCUUCCUGUGGACCCCGACACAAGCCAUCUGGCCUCCUGGCGCCUGAGACAACUGGGAAUAAGACACCUUCCCUUGCAGAGCUGCUGGCCAAGGGCUAAGCCAGCAGCGCAGUGACUGGCCCAUGGGAAGCUGUCCACAUACCAAGCACUUUUCCUCACUCCCUCCACAGAUUCGCCUACACCCUGAUGGUGCUUGAGUUUCAGAGCUCACAGGCCUCCUCUUCCCCAGGUCGGCCUCCUGCAGCUGCUCCAGGUAAAAGAGUAUGUGGGACAAAACGACCUGAGAACAUGAGGCUCAGCCCCUGCUUCUCUGUCGGAAGGAGUGGUGGAGACAAUCAGACCAUUUCACUUACGUCACCAACGACAAAAUAUGUUUUCCUCUGCCCUCAACCACGCGGUCAGCACAAGAGUUCUGCUCUGACUCCAGGGCAGAGUCUGUCGAGCUCAUCUCCAAACAAAUUAGAGAAGAUGAGAUGUGGUGAUGGAUGAGAAGGUGGCUAAGAGAGACUCCAGCCAACACAGCUUUUCAUGAUUGGGAUCAAACUCAAUCUGCAGGAGAGCUCCAGAGAGAACAAGGCCCCGUCCCUCAUUUCACCCCCACACAAAGCUGAGGCCAGAGAACGUCAAGACUUACCCAAGGUCACACAGCCACAUAGCAGCAGAGCUGGGACUGGGCUCUAGCUGUCCUACUGCACAGGCCCCUUCUUUCCCACUCAGGCCGACUUGUAAUUAUUUCUGAAGACAAUGGCGGGGGAAAGGGUUCUGAAUACUCUCUGGGUAACAGCUAACUCCCAGAGAAUAAGGUACGCAGGCUCAGUCUGAUUCCCAACGACAGAAGAACGGACGACGCUCCUCCCAACGUACUGGGACAGGAAGCUCCCAGCACCUCAGAGCAGCGGCUUUUCCCUCAGAGGUAUACCUGCAGUGCUAGAGAAGCAGCCUGCGGGCGGGCCUCCCAGCCCUAGUACAGCGGAGCGCUCUGAGCAGGCGCAGGCACAGUAGCAGCCUGGACGCCAACCCCCGCCCCACUCACACACACUCCUCCACCCCUCCCCAC